GACGAACGCUGGCGGCGUGCUUAACACAUGCAAGUCGAACGAAGAGCGAUGGAAGCUUGCUUCUCUCAAUCUUAGUGGCGCACGGGUGAGUAACGCGUAAUCAACCUGCCCUUCAGAGAGGGACAACAGUUGGAAACGACUGCUAAUACCGCAUACGAUCUAAUCUCGGCAUCGAGGAUAGAUGAAAGGUGGCCUCUACAUGUAAGCUAUCACUGACGGAGGGGAUUGCGUCUGAUUAGCUAGUUGGAGGGGUAACGGCCCACCAAGGCGAUGAUCAGUAGCCGGUCUGAGAGGAUGAACGGCCACAUUGGGACUGAGACACGGCCCAGACUCCUACGGGAGGCAGCAGUGGGGAAUCUUCCGCAAUGGACGAAAGUCUGACGGAGCAACGCCGCGUGAGUGAUGACGGCCUUCGGGUUGUAAAGCUCUGUUAAUCGGGACGAAAGGCCUUCUUGCGAAUAGUGAGAAGGAUUGACGGUACCGGAAUAGAAAGCCACGGCUAACUACGUG
rnacentral:rRNA from 1 species